UUAUGGAUAUUAAGGUAACAUUUUACCUAAAAAAUUGCAAUAUUGACUUUAUCUGGUUUUUUUAAUGGAACUGUUACUGUAAGAGGGAUCAUAAUUAAAAGGAUAGACAGUAAAAGCUAAUUUUUAUCCUUAUAAAUUUUAUUAUUCGAGUAAUUUUAAAAACUUAGUGAGGUGAUUAGCUAAAACUUCAUGUGUAAGAUAUAGGUAUAUAAAAUAUGUAUAGUUUAUAUGGUAGUAAUAAAGAAAUCCUUACUCAAUAUCAUAAUAUUUUAGGAAUGCCAGAAUGUAUUAUAGCUGCUGCAGCUGCUCGUGUUGGCAAGAAAGUUUUGCACAUUGAUAGGAAUAACUAUUAUGGUGGGGAUUGGGCUAGCUUUAGUUUUGAUAAAUUUCUGGACUGGAUAAAAGAAACAGAGG